rnacentral:rRNA from 1 species
GACGAACGCUGGCGGCGUGCUUAACACAUGCAAGUCGAACGAUGACGACCGAGCUUGCUCGGUCUGAUUAGUGGCGAACGGGUGAGUAACACGUGAGCAACCUGCCCUUCACUCUGGGAUAACCUCGGGAAAUCGGGGCUAAUACCGGAUAUGAGCUCCUGUCGCAUGGCGGGUGUUGGAAAGUUUUUCGGUGAAGGAUGGGCUCGCGGCCUAUCAGUUUGUUGGUGAGGUAGUGGCUCACCAAGGCGAUGACGGGUAGCCGGCCUGAGAGGGCGACCGGCCACACUGGGACUGAGACACGGCCCAGACUCCUACGGGAGGCAGCAGUGGGGAAUACUGCACAAUGGGCGAAAGCCUGAUGCAGCGACGCCGCGUGAGGGAUGACGGCCUUCGGGUUGUAAACCUCUUUCAGCAGGGAAGAAGCGAAAGUGACGGUACCUGCAGAAGAAGCGCCGGCUAACUACGUG